CGACCACUCAACCGCAUCUUAUCCUAUCCCCUGCGCCUCGCCUCCCUACUCUGCCCUGCCGCUUCCCCUCCUCGCCGGCGGCUCGGCUCCUCCCUCGCGGCAGCCCACUAUCCCCGGCACCUCGCCUCCCUACUCUGCCUUGCCGCUUCCCCUCCUCGCCGGCGGCUCCUCCCUGGCGGCAGCGACCAAUACGGCGAGACGACGCGGCCGCACGAGCGGCGGCGAGGUCAGCGGUGAAUACGGCGAGGCGCCGCGUCCGCACGGGCGGCAGGGGCCAAUACGGCAAGGCGGAGCGGCCGCACAGCCGCCGCGAUGUCCAGGGGAGGAAGCGGCCAAUACAGCAAGGUGGUGUCUGUCCGGCGGCCGUACGUCCUCCUGCUUGGGCUCAACCUCCCGCUGUGCGUCCGCACCGGCAUCACCAAGCUUCCCAGCCGCGUCCGCGUCGGCUCCGAGGAUGUCCCGAUUUGGCCACCGGAGAGGAUUGGUUCGAUUGGUUCAAAGGAGUAGGACACAGAGCGUGGGCUCCGAACAUUCAGCAAAACAGGGACAUUGUGAAUUUACUAGAUUGCGACAAGUCUACACAGGGAAUAGGCCGAGUUUGGAAUGAGCAGCUUGCAGAGCUACUAUGGCCUGAGUUCUCAAAGAGGAGAUGGCAUGGAUUUAAGUACAUUAAUGUCCUUGUACGGCGGACGCCGAGACGAGCACGUGACACCAUUGCCACCC
rnacentral:rRNA from 1 species